rnacentral:misc_RNA from 1 species
AAACGACAUGGGGAGCCGAAGCUCCCCAGGAAAGUCGUUGCGUGCUCUUAUUGUUUUUCUGCCGGGCUUCUUGUUUUUGUUGAUGCCCUGCCCACAAAUCUCAAAGCUUGUGGACGACCCCCAACCCGGGGGUGAAGAGCAAACGGAUUGCUUUGGUCGCUGAUGUUAUGCUGAUCGUUCGAUCCAACCAGUUCAGGCGCUGCUUUUUAGUGCAGUU